ACGCCGGUUCGAAGCAUUUCUUUCCCUAUUCAUUUAAGGUUCUGGAGCUUCUUCUCAAAACUGCGAACCCUAACCCCAAAUUUCAACCCAGAAACCUUCUCGCAAUGUUUAACGACCGCUACGAUCCCAGACAACACGAUGCCGGCUCUUAUCGUCAGCGCCGGAGUGAUUUGACGGGGCAGCCGCCGAUGGGGGUUCCGACUCAUGCUCCUGGUGGUGCCGAAGGCUACGAACGCGGUGCUCCAAUUCCAUAUGGAGGUCCUUCUGGGCAUCGUGAGACUGAACAUAGCGGUGGACGGGAUAGUGGAGGAAAAGGGUUUGGGAAAGGAUCAGGUAGUAGAGACUAUGUAGAUAGAAGAAGUGAUGGGAGAGGUUUUGGCUCCAGUAGGGAUUAUGAUCGUGGUGGAGAUAGGGGUGGUGCCCGUGAGGGCUUUGGCAGGGGGCGGGGUGGAGGUAGAGAUGGUCGUGGCUUUGAUGGAGGCCAUGGUGGUAGGCCAAGAGGGGAUGACUUGGAUAAUAUUUCUCUUCCGAAGCCAGAUUUCAGAGGGUUGAUUGCCUUUAAGAAAGAUUUUUAUGUCGAGAGUCCGUCUGUAAGGGCAAUGACUGAGCAAGAGGUCUCUAUGUUUCGUGCAAGGAAGGAAAUCACCAUUGAAGGCCGUGAUGUCCCUAAGCCAAUUAGGAUGUUUCAAGAAGCAAAUUUCCCUGAUUACUGCCUUGAAGUCAUAUCUAAAUUGGGUUUUGUGGAGCCGACUCCUAUUCAAUCACAAGGAUGGCCCAUGGCUUUAAAGGGUCGAGAUCUGAUUGGCAUAGCUGAGACUGGUUCUGGAAAGACUUUGGCAUAUUUGCUUCCUGCUUUUGUUCAUGUUAGUGCUCAGCCGAGGCUGGCACAUGGUGAAGGGCCAAUAGUUUUAGUGCUUGCACCUACAAGAGAGCUGGCUGUUCAGAUUCAAGAAGAAGCUGCCAAAUUUGGAUCAUAUGCGCACAUAAAAAGUACCUGUAUAUAUGGCGGUGCUCCUAAAGGGCCGCAAAUUCGCGACCUUAAAAGAGGUGUUGAAAUCGUCAUUGCUACACCCGGAAGAUUAAUUGAUAUGCUGGAAGCUCAGCAUACUAACUUGAGAAGAGUUACGUAUCUCGUGUUAGAUGAGGCUGAUCGCAUGCUUGAUAUGGGUUUUGAACCCCAAAUUAGAAAAAUUAUUUCUCAGAUCCGACCUGAUAGGCAAACCUUGUACUGGAGUGCUACAUGGCCAAGGGAGGUUGAAUCUUUAGCAAGACAAUUCCUGCAAAAUCCAUACAAGGUUACCAUUGGAUCUCCAGAUCUGAAAGCGAAUCAAUCUAUACAACAAGUUAUUGAAGUUAUUACCGAUAUGGAGAAGUAUAACAGAUUGAUCAAAUUGCUGAAGGAUGUGAUGGAUGGGAGUAAAAUUUUAAUUUUUGUGGAGACAAAGAAAGGAUGUGAUCAAGUCACUCGACAGUUAAGAAUGGAUGGAUGGCCGGCUUUGUCCAUUCAUGGUGAUAAAAGCCAGGAUGAGAGGGAUUGGGUCCUGGCCGAGUUUAAAACUGGCAGGAGUCCUGUAAUGAUUGCCACUGAUGUGGCUGCUCGUGGCCUUGGUAGGAUAAGUCUUACAGUUUAGGGUUUAGCAUAUCUUGUUUUGGAUCUUACAACUGCGUAGGCAAGUCUUCCGGCUGUUCUCCAUGUUCCUGAAGAAGUUGUGGGUUGGGCACAAAUGCUUUUCCUGUAGUGUCCUAUAUCUGAUCACAACCAUUUUGUUGUGUCUGACGGGAGUUUCUUUAUGCGUCACAGAAGGGAGGAUAUACAGUACCUAACCUUAAACAUUUUGAUCCUGAACCCUAAACCUUCCAUACCUUGAAAAUUUGGUGUCUAAACACAAAGCCUUCAUGACCUCUGAAGCUUGGUGUGCUAACCUUGUCAUGACCUAGAAAUAGGUCGGAGAUUUGACCAUUAGUUGGGAGGUUGCUUUAUAUCGGGAAGAUAAGAGUCAAUUUGAUCUACUUUUCCCUAAGGUCUAUUUACCUUAUACAUCCUUAUUGGGGGUGGCAUUUUCUUCUGACCCAAAAACAUAAAGGUAACACAGAAGUAAUGGGUCUGGAUUUGGAUGUUUCGGUUUGAUUCAAAAUCAGGCUUAGCGUAAUAAAUCCCAAAGACAAUAGAUGUGAAGGACAUUAAAUGUGUUGUCAACUAUGACUUUCCGUCGUGCCUUGAGGAUUAUGUUCACAGGAUUGGCCGAACUGGUCGUGCUGGAGCCAAAGGAACUGCUUUCACAUUUUUUACACAUGGAAAUGCCAAGUAUGCAAGGGGACUAAUUAAGAUAUUGCAACAAGCACGACAAGUUGUACCUCCGCAACUUUCUGCUUUGGCUCGAUCUGGUCCUAGUUCGGGGG